rnacentral:ncRNA from 1 species
AUUUGCCGUCUAUGGUGCGGGUAUCGGAAACGACCCGGGCGCCUCAUAUUGAGCGUUAGGACACCUUACGACGGCUUUUUU